rnacentral:misc_RNA from 1 species
GGUCUCAGCUCGCAUUGAUUACGUCCCUGCCCUUUGUACACACCGCCCGUCGCACCUACCGAUUGAAUCAUUCGGUGAGGAUCUCGGAUUUUGUUGCUUACGCUUCACGGCGUUUUCGACGAGAGAAGUCAUCCAAACCUCAUGAUUUAGAGGAAGGUGAAGUCGUAACAAGGUUUCCGUAGGUGAACCUGCGGAAGGAUCAUUACCGAGAAUUAGUGCUACUAACGAACCUCAUUGUAUUACUGGCCCUCUUGCCAUUUCCCCGCCGAUGUAGAUUCAGUUCUACGUCGUUGGCUUUUCUAUCGAGCAUUUUCUUUCCAGGGAUCGCGGGCAGGCCGGAUGGCGUUUCUUAGGUUCUCUUCUGGAUGGCGGGCUGGAGCCACUUUGGGCUUCGGAGCGCUGGUUUUCUCUCUCCUUUACCGUGUGGCAACGUUGUACAGACAAGCUGGAGCUAGCAGGAGGUUUCGGAUCGCUCUCUCGGGAGCGAACUGGAUCCGGCCCUGCGGGUUCGUUGCGCAAAGUCAUAGUACUAUCUACCCACACACACAGGUGUGCCGGAGCCCUUAGGUGGGCUUUGGAGCGCCGCUGGAGGGAGGGAUUUGCUGGAAGGGCGAUACGCUGCUGCUGGAGCUUGCCGGAUUGGACCUUGGGCGCAAAGGAGAGCUCGGAGGGGAGUUGUUGCGGGGGGGGAAGUGUAAGGGAGCCGGGUCUGGUGGGGGGGAACACGUGAAAUGACCUCCCAUUAUCGGUUGGGCGAGGGGCGUCUCGCCGAGCUCGGUGCAAGCCGAGUCUCGAAUCAAAGCGUAUUUUUUCUACCCAAGUAACCUCUGAAUCUGAACUCAAAAGGAGGCGCGCGUGUCCCGACGGACUGCCGCCUUCUCAACCUUUAACGUUGUAAAACUUUCAGCGACGGAUGUCUUGGCUCCCACAACGAUGAAGAACGCAGCGAAAUGCGAUACGUCUUGCGACUUGCAGAAUCCAGUGAAUCAUCAAAACUUUGAACGCAUCUUGCGCUUCCGGGAUAUGCCUGGGAGCAUGCUUGUCGGAGUGUCUGUUGACACCUCUCGCCCCCUCGGCGCGCGUUUUUCUUGGCGUGCCCGCGCGGGGCGGACUCUGCGUGUUCCGGAGCGCGAGCUCCGAGUACACCGAACCUCGUGAACGAGACCUCUACCGCCUUUGUUGCACAGAGUUGUUGACGGCGUGUCGCUUCUGCGACGCGACUCUCUACUCGCCACGUGCGACAUGUCGGCGCGGUUCGGCCCAUCGUUCCGGUGGCCUGCGCGGUUUCCCUUCCUGAGGGGAUCGAUCGCACACUAUCCCAACUUUCGUUCGGACCUCCGAUCAAGCAAGAGGACCCGCUGAAUUAAG